rnacentral:rRNA from 2 species
UUCGCCAGGGAACUACGAGCAUAAGCUUAAAACCCAAAGGACUUGGCGGUGCUUUAGACCCCCCUAGAGGAGCCUGUUCUAUAACCGAUAAUCCCCGUUAAACCUCACCUUUUCUUGUUAUUUCCGCCUAUAUACCGCCGUCGUCAGCUUACCCUGUGAAGGCUGCUCAGUAAGCAAGAUCGAUUCUAUCCAAAACGUCAGGUCGAGGUGUAGCAUAUGAAGAGGAAAGAAAUGGGCUACAUUUUCUAAUCUAGAAAAUAACGGAAAUUGCCAUGAAACAGUAAUUCAAGGAGGAUUUAGCAGUAAGCAGAGAAUAGAGAGCUCC